rnacentral:rRNA from 1 species
CACGUAGGGUGCGAGCGUUGUCCGGAAUUAUUGGGCGUAAAGAGCUCGUAGGCGGUGUGUCGCGUCGGCCGUGAAAACCUGCAGCUUAACUGUGGGCGUGCGGUCGAUACGGGCAUCACUGGAGUUCGGCAGGGGAGACUGGAAUUCCUGGUGUAGCGGUGGAAUGCGCAGAUAUCAGGAGGAACACCGGUGGCGAAGGCGGGUCUCUGGGCCGAUACUGACGCUGAGGAGCGAAAGCGUGGGGAGCGAACAGG